rnacentral:rRNA from 1 species
GAUGAACGCUAGCGGCAAGCUUAACACAUGCAAGUCGAACGGUAACUUUUGGUGCUUGCACCGAAAGACGAGUGGCGGACGGGUGCGUAACGCGUAUGCAAUCUACCUUUUACUAGGGUAUAGCCCAGAGAAAUUUGGAUUAAUCCCCUAUAAUAUCAAAAUUCCGCAUGGUUUUUUGAUUAAAGCUUCGGUGGUAAAAGAUGAGCAUGCGUCCUAUUAGUUUGUAGGUGAGGUAACGGCUCACCUAGACUACGAUAGGUAGGGGCCCUGAGAGGGGGAUCCCCCACACUGGUACUGAGACACGGACCAGACUCCUACGGGAGACAGCAGUGAGGAAUAUUGGACAAUGGACGAAAGUCUGAUCCAGCUAUGCCGCGUGCAGGAUGACAGCCCUACGGGUUGUAAACUGCUUUUAUACAGGAAGAAAAAUCCCGACGUGUCGGGGCUUGACGGUACUGUAAGAAUAAGGAUCGGCUAACUCCGUGCCAGCAGCCGCGGUAAUACGGAGGAUCCAAGCGUUAUCCGGAAUUAUUGGGUUUAAAGGGUCCGCAGGCUGUUUUUUAAGUCAGAGGUGAAAUCCUGCAGCUCAACUGUAGAAUUGCCUUUGAAACUGAAAGACUUGAGUUAUUGUGAAGUGGUUAGAAUGUGUGGUGUAGCGGUGAAAUGCAUAGAUAUCACACAGAAUACCAAUUGCGAAGGCAGAUCACUAACAAUUAACUGACGCUCAGGGACGAAAGCGUAGGUAGCGAACAGGAUUAGAUACCCUGGUAGUCCACGCCGUAAACGAUGGAUACUAGCUGUAUGUCUACCUCAGGUAGAUGUGUGGCCAAGCGAAAGUGAUAAGUAUCCCACCUGGGGAGUACGAUCGCAAGAUUGAAACUCAAAGGAAUUGACGG